AGUUUGAUCCUGGCUCAGAAUGAACGCUGGCGGCGUGCUUAACACAUGCAAGUCGAACGAGAAAGCCCUUCGGGGUGAGUAAAGUGGCGAACGGGUGAGUAACACGUAAGAAUCUGCCCUUCAGUGAAGAAUACCCUCGAGAAAUCGAGGUUAAUACUGCAUAAGUCCCUUCGGGGAGAAAGACGGCCUCUUGCUGUCGCUGAAGGAUGAGCUUGCGAGCUAUUAGCUUGUUGGUGGGGUAAAGGCCUACCAAGGCAAUGAUGGCUAGCCGGCCUGAGAGGGUGUACGGCCACACUGGGACUGAGAUACGGCCCAGACUCCUACGGGAGGCAGCAGUGGGGAAUAUUGCACAAUGGGCGAAAGCCUGAUGCAGCGACGCCGCGUGGGGGAUGACGGUUUUCGGAUUGUAAACCCCUGUUAAGUGGGAAGAAAUGUCCACACAUAAUAUGUGUGGAAGCUGACGGUACCACUAGAGAAAGCUCCGGCUAACUUCGUGCCAGCAGCCGCGGUAAUACGAAGGGAGCAAGCGUUAUUCGGAAUUACUGGGCGUAAAGAGCGUGUAGGCGGUUGACUAAGUUGGUUGUUAAAUACCCUGGCUUAACUAGGGAUCGGCAAUCAAUACUGGUUGACUAGAGAGCAAGAGAGAGAAGUGGAAUUCUCGGAGUAGCGGUAAAAUGCAUAGAUCUCGAGAGGAACACCAGUUGCGAAGGCGGCUUUUUGGCUUGUCUCUGACGCUAUAGCGCGAAAGCGUGGGGAGCAAACAGGAUUAGAUACCCUGGUAGUCCACGCCGUAAACGAUGAUCACUAGAUGUGGGUUCUGUUUAACAGGAUCUGUGUCGAAGCUAACGCGUUAAGUGAUCCGCCUGGGGAGUACGGUCGCAAGAUUAAAACUCAAAGGAAUUGGGCGGGGGUCCGCACAAGCGGUGGAACAUGUGGUUUAAUUCGACACUACGCGAGGAACCUUACCUAGACUUGACAUGUACUUGCCCGCUGUAGAAAUACAGUUUUUCAAGUUUACUUGAACGAGUACCACAGGUGCUGCAUGGCUGUCGUCAGCUCGUGUCGUGGAGAAUGUUGGGUUAAGUCCUUUAACGAGCGCAACCCUUGGCCGUUCAGUUGCAACUUCUUUAUUGGAGGCACUCUGGCGGGACUGCCUAGGAAACUAGGAGGAAGGUGGGAAUGAAGCUCAAGUCCUCUAUGGCCCUUAUGUCUAGGGCGACACACCUGUUACAAUGGCUAGUUACAAACGGGAUGCAAACCCGCGAGGGGGAGCCAAUCUCAUAAAGCUAGUCUAAGUUCGGAUUGGAGUCUGCAAUUCGACUCCAUGAAGCUGAAAUCGCUAGUAAUCGCGUAUCAGAACGACGCGGUGAAUACGUUCUCGGACCUUGUACACACCGCCCGUCACACCACGAAAAUCGUCUACACCCAAAGUUAUCUUAGCUAACCCGUAAGGGAGGCGGAUGAUUAAGGUGAGGAGGGUAAUUGGGGUGAAGUCGUAACAAGGUAACC
rnacentral:rRNA from 1 species